UUUUAAAUAUCGUUGUGCUUGGUUAACAUACGGAUAAGAAGAUUCUUAAAUUUGAAUUUCAAAUUUGUCUUGAAUUCUAUGAAAUUUUCACUCGCCACCAUUUUUUUUUCCUCCUACGAGGAUAAGAUAAGUUGUAUAGAGGAGAAAACUUUGCUAUUUUGCUCUUUCUCCAACUCUGUCCCCCCUCUCCAGGUGAAGAAACUGAUCUCUAUCAAUCAACAUAAGACUGCAUUGCAAAGACGUCAUAGGUUGCACUUUACGAAAGACUUGUGUGAAACAAAGGCAUUUUACUUCUUGAAGGGAGAUAUUAUCUUGCAAAUGCUGAUUUUCCUCUUCUUAAGCAUUUCAUUAUUCCAUAUCGUGGGUUACAAUAUCAUCUAAAUGAUAUUAGAGAUCGAGUACCUAAUUCACCAAAAGAGUUAUUCAAUCAAAGGCACUCAUCGUUACGGAAUGUCAUUGAACAGACACUUGGUGUUCUAAAGAAGCGUUUUGGCAUAUUAUGCGCAACACAACAUACUCAUAUGAGAGGUAGAUUGACAUUGUUUUAGCUUGUUGUAUGGUGCAUAAUCACAUUAGGAGAGUGAUGCCAGAUGAUAAUCUAUUGGAUGAAGUGGAUGCUGAUUUGAGUAGGGAAACUGUUAAAGAUGAUGAUCCUGUUGACACCCCAUCUAACAGAGCAGAAGAGGGUCGUGAGGGAAAAAUGAUAAGAAAUGAAGUUACAUACCUCUUGUGGAAUGACUACCAACUUCAACAUUGUCGUUGAUAGAUCUUUAUGAUGUGAGAGGGUUUACAUUACAUUGUUGCGCCGGAA